GUAAUGUCUGGGAAACUGCCUGAUGGAGGGGGAUAACUACUGGAAACGGUGGCUAAUACCGCAUAACGUCGCAAGACCAAAGAGGGGGACCUUCGGGCCUCUUGCCAUCAGAUGUGCCCAGAUGGGAUUAGCUAGUUGGUGAGGUAACGGCUCACCAAGGCGACGAUCCCUAGCUGGUCUGAGAGGAUGACCAGCCACACUGGAACUGAGACACGGUCCAGACUCCUACGGGAGGCAGCAGUGGGGAAUAUUGCACAAUGGGCGCAAGCCUGAUGCAGCCAUGCCGCGUGUAUGAAGAAGGCCUUCGGGUUGUAAAGUACUUUCAGCGGGGAGGAAGGUGUUGUGGUUAAUAACCGCAGCAAUUGACGUUACCCGCAGAAGAAGCACCGGCUAACUCCGUGCCAGCAGCCGCGGUAAUACGGAGGGUGCAAGCGUUAAUCGGAAUUACUGGGCGUAAAGCGCACGCAGGCGGUCUGUCAAGUCGGAUGUGAAAUCCCCGGGCUCAACCUGGGAACUGCAUUCGAAACUGGCAGGCUUGAGUCUUGUAGAGGGGGGUAGAA
rnacentral:rRNA from 1 species